rnacentral:rRNA from 1 species
CCAAUAGCGUAUAUUAAAGUUGUUGCAGUUAAAAAGCUCGUAGUUGAAUUUCGAGAUCAAAUUGUUGGUCGUGCCUCGGUACGUACUGGCAUUAUUGAUUUCUCCUUUCUGAAGAACCUUGAUGUCAUUAAUUUGGUGUCUUGGGGAAUCAGGACCGUUACUUUGAAAAAAUUAGAGUGUUUAAAGCAGGCUCGCGCUUGAAUACAUUAGCAUGGAAUAAUGAAAUAGGACGUUUGAUUCUAUUUUGUUGGUUUCUAGGAUCGACGUAAUGAUUAAUAGGGAUAGUUGGGGCAUUAGUAUUCAAUUGUCAGAGGUGAAAUUCUUGGAUUUAUUGAAGACUAACUACUGCGAAAGCAUUUGCCAAGGAUGUUUUCAUUAAUCAAGAACGAAAGUUAGGGGAUCGAAGACGAUCAGAUACCGUCGUAGUCUUAACCAUAAACUAUGCCGACUAGGGAUCGGAUGAUGUUAAUUUUUUAAUGACUCAUUCGGCGCCUUACG